rnacentral:rRNA from 1 species
GUAGUCUGGCCAUAAACGAUGUUCACUAGGUGUUGGGGGGUAACCCUCGGUGCCGCAGCUAACGCAUUAAGUGAACCGCCUGGGGACUACGGCCGCAAGGUUGAAACUCAAAGGAAUUGGCGGGGGACCGCACAAGCGGUGGAGCAUGUGGCUUAAUUCGAUGCAACGCGAAGAAUCUUACCAGGGCUCGACAUGUAUCUGCAAACUCCCCCAGAAGGAGCUCCUUCGAGAGUGAUACACAGGUGGUGCAUGGCUGUCGUCAGCUCGUGUUGUGAAAUGUUGGGUUAAGUCCCGCAACGAGCGCAACCCUCAUCGUUUGUUACCAGCGGAUAAUGCCGGGGACUCGAGCGAAACUGCCUCUGUAAAGAGGAGGAAGGCGGGGAUGACGUCAAGUCAUCAUGCCCCUUACGCCCUGGGCUGCACACAUGCUACAAUGGCUGGUACAAAGGGUCGCCAACUCGCGAGAGUGAGCUAAUCCCAAAAAACCAGUCUCAGUUCGGAUCGCAGUCUGCAACUCGACUGCGUGAAGUCGGAAUCGCUAGUAACCGCCGGUCAGCAAUACGGCGGUGAAUACGUUCCCGGUCCUUGCACACACCGCCCGUCACGCCACGAAAGUCAGUCUUACCCGAAGUCGCUGCGCUAACCGCAAGGAAG